rnacentral:rRNA from 1 species
UACGUAGGGGGCAAGCGUUGUCCGGAUUUAUUGGGCGUAAAGAGCGUGUAGGCGGCCAGGUAGGUCCGUUGUGAAAACUCGAGGCUCAACCUCGAGACGCCGAUGGAAACCAUCUGGCUAGAGUCCGGAAGAGGAGAGUGGAAUUCCCGGUGUAGCGGUGAAAUGCGCAGAUAUCGGGAAGAACACCCGUGGCUAAGGCGGCUCUCUAGUACGGUACUGACGCUGAGACGCGAAAGCGUGGGGAGCGAACAGGG